rnacentral:lncRNA from 1 species
GGCAUAUUUGCCUUUGUCUUUACUAUGCGCUUCCUGAGAGUCACAACCAAAACAAAGGACCUAGUUGUCUGUGCUUCAGGCUUCAUUAUCCAUUAUCUCUUCUCAUCUCCUCACCACCCAACUUCUUUGUUCCAUCCUUUCAAUCCCGUUUUGUCUUCAUCCCCCCAUGAAUAUAUCUAAUAUAUCUAAUAUAUUAAUCUAAUAUAUCUGAUAUAUCUAAUGCUCAGUACCCCAACUUACUGUAGCAGUUGCUCUUAAAUGGAGCUGCAUCCCAGUGGAAAGACACUUUAGAAUCUCUAAAAAGACAGUCAAGGAAAAGUAUACAAUUUGAUAAGUUUUUUGUAUAUACGUCUAUGGAACCAUCAUGAUAGUUUACAUAAUGAACACGUGGCUUAGCCUUAAAAGUUUCUUUGUGCCUCUUUGUAAUCCUUCACUCCUACUCCUUACCAUCACCCCUCCCAAGGCACUCACUGACCUGCUUCAUGUCCGUUUAGAUCAGUUUAUGUUUUCUAGAGUUUUAUGUAAAAAGAACUAUAUAGAAUGUUCUUUUUUCCCAUCUAGAUACAUACCUAGGGGUAAAAUAUAAAAGGUAAUAGAUUACCUCUUGUAGGGAGAUACAGGAAUAAUCAGAAAGAAGCUCAAAAACUUCUAAGAUACUAGUAAUGUUUUAUUUCCUAAAUUGGGUGGUGAGUAUAAUAAUUAGUUUUAUGACUCUGUUUAUGCUGUUUGUGUGAAUAAAUAUUAUUAAAUUUAAAAAGAAAUUUAAAAGAAAAAGUUCAGUGGUAGAGUGUGUACUUAGCAUGUACACAUUCUUGUUCGUGAUCCCCAACACACAUACAUACACACACACACAUACACAAAUUCUUUGGUUGGACUCUAGAAACCAUUUGAAAUCAUUUGUCUUUACUUCCUUUAGAGUUGCACAAAGGAAAUGAACCCCUUCCCUUAAAAAUGAAACAGAACCCCUCAUGUAGACCCUGAAUAAACCAAGUCAUGUUGUACUUUAGAGACCAAAUAAUGACCUUAGGCCAAUCUGAACAGUUUCAGAAGAACCAUCUUGGUCUUUCCUGAAUCAAAGGGGUAGAAGAGAACAGAAAUAGCUGUGGCCACUAAUUUGCCUAUUUUUGAUACUCUUCUCUUGCUUAUAAGCAAAACUGAGGAAUCUUUUUUUUUUUUUUAAUUUUUUUUAAUAUUUAUUUUUCAGUUUUUGGCGGAC